CGUCGACGCCGAGCACCGGGCCGGCCCUUCCGCGACCUCCACGUCGACGCCGAGCACCGGGCCGGCCCUUCCGCGACCUCCACGUCGACGCCGAGCACCGGGACGGCCCUUCCGCGACCUCCACGUCGACGCCGAGCACCGGGCCGGCCCUUCCGCGACCUCCACGUCGACGCCGAGCACCGGGCCGGCCCUUCCGCGACCUCUACGUGGACGCCAUGCACCGUCGCGGCGGUUUUCUAGGCGGCCACGAUCGAGCGGGCGGUGCUUGUCCGCAGCAGGCAGCUGCUUCGCGGCGCCGCGCGGUUUAACGUCCUGCAGAGCCGCGUCGUGGUGAACAGCCAACUUGGCGUCCGGAGUGAGCGCUUCGCUCGGGCCUCGCUCUGCCGCGGCAGGAGGGAAGGCGAGUCCGUUAUGAAGUUUUCCCGGCGGCCGGCGCAGUCUGACCGCCCGCAGCGCAGCCUACUCUCAGGACAGGAGCGAUGCUGCCCCGGUUCUCGCCGCGCCGCCACUUCCUGUGGCUGGUGCUGGUGUCCAGCGUGGUGCUGCUCGUGAUGCUCAACAUGCACCUCAAGCCGCGCUGGGGCGGCGGCCCGCUGGGCGGGGCGGGG